UUUGUAUACUUUUAUUUGGUUUAGGCGGGCUAUGAUUGUUUUUUGCUGAGUGCCUUGAGAUAGUGAGAUACAUAUGAGUUGUUCUCAUAUGAAAACUGUGAUGGUCAACGAUAAGGCGAAGGUGCGUCAUAAUUCAACCGAUAUUGGAUUGGAUUUUCACUAUUGACGUUGAAUUUUCCCAAAUUCGUUAUUGCCGUGAUAAUAAAGCAACGAAGAAAAUUUCGGCAUUUCUACUCAUUUAAAAAAGUAUCUCAAGUUGCUUUAAAAAUGAAGCAUGUAAUAAUUGUUGGUGCAGGAGCAUCUGGGUUGGCUGCAGCCUCAAGGCUUGUUGAGAAUGGUUUGAGUACCACAAAUAUCACAAUCUUAGAAGCUCAAAAUCACAUUGGAGGAAGAGUGCAUACAGUUACAAAUGACGGAAAUCCAUUGGAAAUCGGGGCACAAUGGGUACAUGGUCAAAAAGGAAAUGUUGUGUUUGAAAUUGCUGAAUCAGCUCAUGAGCUUAAUACCGACAUCCAAACUUUAGAAUCUAGUGGAUUUGCCGAAAAUGUGGUGUUUGGAUUUGAAGACUACAAAUUGAAUAAAGAACAAGUUCAACAAUUUAUGCAAACAGUACAUUCACUUGAAGAGAUUUCUAAAAGUGAGUUGUCUGGAUGGAACAAGUCUUUAGGAGAAUAUUUCGAAGAAAAGUUCAACGAACUUAUUCUUUCUAAAUGUUCUCACUCUGAGUUUGAUCGAUCUACUGCAUUAGCCUUUCUCGAUUGGUACCAUAUAAUGGAAAAUGUGAUUGAUGGAGCAGAUAACUGGAAAGAAACAUGCGGUUCCGGCCAUUUACAUUACAAAGAAUGUUCUGGAGAUCCCUUAGUUACAUGGAAGCGAGGAUACAGUACUCUUUUCAAAAUUUUAAUGAAAAAUCUAUCGAAAUCGCACAGUGACCAGCAGCUACCUCUUUCUGAUCGUAUAUUUCUCAACAAGGCUGUGACAAGUAUCGAUUGGGAUAGUGAGGCUACAUCAGAAAAAAAAAUUCAAGUUACCUGUGAAGAUGGAUCUCUCUACCCAGCCGAUUUUGUUCUAGUAACUGCUUCCCUUGGAUUUCUAAAAUCUAAUAUGUAUAGCCUAUUUAUUCCCUCUUUGCCACCUUAUAAAAAGAGAGCCAUUCAGGGUCUGGGCUUUGGGACUGUUGACAAAAUAAUCAUCAAGUUUGAGAAACCCUGGUGGACAACAGACUGGGGAGGGAUCUCUCUUUUACGCCGGCGUUCACAAGAAGCUGGUAGUCAUUGGUCAGAUCAUUUAUUGGGUUUUUACACGGUGCGUCUUCAUCCGAAUAUGCUCAUAGCCUGGAUUACAGGAAAAGCUGCUCGCCAAGUAGAGUCAUUACCAGAGAAUGAAAUUCUUAAGGUCUGCUCGGACCUUUUAAGGAAAUACAUAGGGGCGGAUUUCCCUUUCACAGAACCCGUCGGAUUGAUUCUCUCCAAAUGGUUUAGCAAUCCUUUUACGGUUGGCUCGUACAGUUACCGGUCGAUGGAAUCCAAAGAGAUGAACGUUUGGGCAGCAGACCUUGCUCUACCGGUAUACGAUUCCAAUGGUUUUCCUCGCUUGUUCUUCGCUGGUGAAGCUACACACGAUCAAUUCUAUAGUACGGUGCAUGGAGCUGUAGAAACCGGAUGGAGAGAAGCCGAUCGUAUUGCCAAAUACUGUAUCGGUUUCCACAACGCAAAACUAUUAAUUUAUAAAGCACAAAAAUGUAAACGGGAUGUAUGCUUUUGGAUUAUUACGUCAUCAAAUUGAAGGAUGCAAUCGAAAACGGCUUGAAUUUCCCCGUCUUGCCACAUUUGACAGACUUUGUCGAAUGUUUCGCGGAUGUAGCGGCGAUCCUUCUGGAAGUACAACAGAUUACGCAGGUUGAAGCCACAGACACUCUUGUUCUCCUCGUAGAGUUUCAAUGGCGUUACUUUUUCCUGCCCCAACCACUGCAAAUAAAAUUGAAAAUAGAAGAUUUUAAUUUUCAGACAUCGAAGGAACCUUCUUCCUGACGACCUUCGGAUGCUGUAUUUUCCAUACAUGUUGGUAAUGGAUUUUCACCUGAUUUUUCAUUCACAUCGAGGACAUCUCGACUGCUGUACAGAUUCGAUGGGGUUUCAUGCUGUUCUUCACACAACAUAUUGAUCGGGAUUUUCUUCUGCAUUUCCUCUUGCUGUUGCUGCCUGGCACGCUCCUUGUUCUCUGCAGCCAAUUCCUCAUCUUCGACCAAUUCGCCCGGCUCUGGGAAUCCUAGUUUGUUCAGCAAAGGUUUCUCUUGCCAGUGACGCUGUUUCACGUUCCUCUCGGCCAACACGUAGUAGUCACGCUCGUGAAGCGAUUCUUGUUUCGUCAUUCUUGGAUCAAGAAUGAUUUUGCCGUUCUGUCCGUGCUCCUGCAUGCGCUGCAGAGCUUCAGGGAACUGUAUCAACAUUUUAUAUUAGUAAAGUUACUACUGUUAUUGCUAAUUAUUUUGAUUACAUCAUCGAACUGAAGGACGCAGUCAUAAACAGCCUGGAUCUCGCCGUCUUCCCACAUUGUGCAGAUUCGGUCGAACAAUUCGCGGAUGUAGCGGCGAUCCUUCUGGAAGUACAACAGAUUACGCAGGUUGAAGCCACAGAUGCUCUUGUUCUCCUCGUAGAGUUUCAAUGGCGACACUUUUUCUUGGCCCCACCACUGUAAAAUCUAGCGCUGUCGAGAAAUCCGCGGUUGAUAGCUGCCUGAGUUCCGAACAGGAUAUACUUGCCCAUUGGUCUCAACAGAUUGAAAUCGCGCUGGAAAUUGUCCUCGUAUUGACAGUCAAGUACCAAAUCAACUCCAUGAGGUGAACUAUGACGGAUUUCGGUAACGUAAUCAGCAUCAUGAUCAAUGUAAUUGACGAUCCGGUCGGCAGACUCGCCUUGUACCUCUUCUUUGUUCAUGGCAAUUUUGAAGAUGCGAGUAUUGGGCACGGUGCGUACCAUUUGAGUCACCAUCGUACCCUAUUAUGGAAAACAAAUAUUCAAAUUCAACUGGAGUUAAGAAAAAACCCGAGUUUAAAUAAUAUUACCAAUCCCCCAGGAGUCGAGUGUAGGAGAACAGCUUUGCCAGGGCUUAGAUUCCCCAUUUGGAAUAGCAAGGAAUGGGCUACGAUUCCAUCGACGGUCAAAGCUACAGCUUCGUGAUAGCUCAUCUGAUCAGGAAUUUUGAAGCAGUAUUCCUCCCGACAGACAACAUAUUCACUCCAGGCUUUGCGUUCCGGUAGAGCCAUAACACGAUCUCCAAACUAUUUGAAGACGAUGUUAUAGUUUCUAGAGCGAGAUUCAAAUACGAGUGGGGAAUAGGAUUUACCUUAAAAUUUGUAACGUUUCUCCCCAGUCCGACAAUUUCGCCAGCAACUUCACUUCCCAUGAUGAAAGGCGUUUUUAGAGUGUGAACCCAAGUGUCCAACAUUCCGUUGCGAGUCAUGAUGUCAUUGAAAUUGACACCGCUGUUUAAAAUAAAAGUACGCUUAAGCUUGAAAGAAUAAGGCUAUAAAUUUAAAUGCGUUCGAAUAAUUACCAAGAGUAAGCGCGGAUGAGAAUUUCGUGGUUCAAGGGUAGCGGUAGUGGAAUCUUCGUGGUGUGGACGUUCUUCGAGACUCCAAAACUGGUCAGCUGAACGCAAUUCACUUCAUUGGGAACAUGUUGACUAAACAGAUGCGCCAAGUCUCCUCCGUGCUGGUUCAAGUGAUUAUCGAUCCUCCUCCUAAUCUCUUGUUGCUUCUUGUGAAAUUCUUCCUCGUCUCGCUCACGCAGUUUUCGCAUUUCCCCUAAAAAUGGCGAUUCAAAUCACAUAAGACAAAUUUUAAAAAAAGAAACAAAGGGAAUGAACAAUUACUUUGAAUUUCUGCCGAUUCAUUGUAAGGCUUUUUCCCUGGACGAUCCUCGGUUGGAUUUUGGAUGACCGUUGGUUUCUCGCCUGCAGUUUCGACCAAAGUAUCUGGAUUAAGACUGGGAUAAAGACUAGGGGUUUUUUCACUCUCCAUUUUAACUUCAAUGUUUUUCACUUUCAAAAGUUUUUACUCAGACUGCAAGAUGCUCAUAGACCACCAAGUAAUGGACUGUGCUCUGUGGCGCUUUACAAUUUGUUUUUAUACAGACGGGGGUAGUCAACGUUGAACGAACUAACUUACUUAGAAACGCAAGGAUUCUUUUUUUUAAUGACCUACGUCUAGUUUAUUGUCUCUGGUGGUUUAUCUAUCGCUUAUAUUUUCACAUUUUUUUUUUAGAACAUAAAUUUAAGAAGUAUCAAUGUAGUGAAAACUCGGGAUUCAAAAUGGUAAUCUUAAAUUAUGCUUUGUUUAAUUUUACAAGACGAAUUACGGACGUAAAAUUUAUUACAUGCAGAAACCAAAGAGAAGAUUAGAAUUCCGAGAAAAAGAAAAUGGAACGCCGAACUUUCGUUGGCCGCUAUCUGCUAUAGUGCACAUUUUCUAAGAAAUAGUUGGGAUUUUUCUUUUAUUAGGUCCACCAAGAAUUUAAAUGUCAAGGUUACCCUGGCAUUGACGACACAAUGAAAUACUUUUUCGCCACUCAAUGAGUAUUAGCGUGAGCACAAUUUUUUAUUUAUUCGCCCUCACGCACCCUAAUAAUCGAUUUAGAAAUUCUUAAAAGAAUAACAUUGCGCUUGAACAAAACCAUUUAUUUAUACUGUAGAUUCGUUGGGGGAAAAAACGACAAAUAAUAGUUUUGCGGAAAAAGUUAUUAUUGGUACAGAAAGCAUUCUCCGAAAAAUAAUUUCAAACUCAGCUUCAUACUUUUACGGAAGGUUGAUAAAUAAUUGAGUCAACUAUUCGUCUAUUUUUAUUGUUUUUUCUCAAUGUUUCAGUUGAUAUUUUUAUUCAUAAACUCUUAUUAUCAUUAAUAAUUUCAAAUGAUGCAGAAAAAGGUGUUCUUCUAUUGUAAUAAAAUUGUAUUUUCUCAAUCAAUAAUCGGGGACUUCACUAUCGCAGGAAGCUUAUUAACACCACAACGAAAUAAAAUCAAUUUCCUCUACUGAAUGUUUCUUUGAUGUUCUCCACCAUGCCUUUGCCCUUUUCUUGGAUCGUUCCUGUAGUGUCUGAGAUCGUAUCUUUGAUUUUUCCCAGCAUUCCUUUGCCUUGUGCAGAUGCAUCGCCAGCCGCUUGCUUGGUGCUGUCAGCAAAAUGUUGUGCGUGUUCUUUAGCCGAUUGUCCCCCUUCACGACCGGCCUGAGCAACAUCACCAGCACCUAAAACAAAAUGACAGGAAUUAGAAAGUGAAUUGGAAAACAGCAUUAACCUUGCGAAAAAUUAACCGUACUUUUCUGGACUUUCUGGCCGGCAGAAGACAAUUUAUCGCGUGCGGUGUCCAUUACUUUAAAAAAUCUUUUCAACACUUCCCUUAUCUGCAAUAGGAAAAAUGAAACAGAGCGAAAAAGUAGCGAUUUCAGCUGACGAGCAAAGGAAGACUGACGACAAUAACUGUGAACCAUGGACUUUUAAAGAGCUUGGCUUCGAAAGAAAUGUAUACGUUGAUACUAAGUAUUUUUCCUGAAAACAAAUGACGCGAACAAAACGUUUUCUAUUUUUUGUUUAUCAAUUCUUGUGAGUUGAUUGAGACGUUGACUUCGCGGAAUAGCGUCAGCACUAAUAAGAAACCAUCGAUUUUUGAGAUAAAUUGUGUCGCUAAUGAAAACCAAAGCAUUUCAAAAUAAUUUACGUCGUGAACUGAAAAAUAUUCAACGCUAAUUUAUUUCACUACAUGCCUACUGCUGAAUACAUACAUGACUAUGCUUA